GGAUACAAUGAACUAUGUCACUAAUGAGAAAUUGGCCUCAUUGCUUUCUAUUGCUUCAUACUCUGAUAAUUUGAAAUAACUCUGUAAAUGAAGUAGAAAGAGAAUGAACUAAUGAAUACAUAAAUAGAAUUCAGUGCAAUUUUGUGGAAGUAUAGAGGCCUUAUCUCAUUUUUAAAGAUGAACUUUUAUCUCAAGCUCCAGUUCUCCCUUUAUUAGAGAUCUUCAAAUGAGUAUGACUUAGAAAUCCCAUUGUUUGCUUUUCUCUCUGAUUUAGGGGAAUUGUGUCAAUUUGACCGAAGCCCUGUCGCUCUAUGAAGAACAGCUGGGGCGCCUGUAUUGUCCUGUGGAAUUCUCAAAAGAGAUUGUCUGUGUCCCUUCAUACUUGGAAUUGUGGGUAUUUUACACUGUUUGGAAGAAAGCUAAGCCUUAAAGAUGAGAAUCCCCUGAAUGUUGUUUCCUGCAAGCCACCUUCCUGACUUCCAUAAACCCUAUAUGCCAUCAAUUGAGUCAGGCAACUGGUCAUGAAUUCCUUCAAGUGUUUUUAUUUUGUUUGUAAUUGUUACUUUUAAUUUAAAAAAGCCAAUGGGAAAAAUGUAUAUUUUGAUGAGCUAGGGUGUUAAUUUUUGAAAGUCAGCUGAAGGACAAUUAGACAGCCCAGCAAAGACUGCGGAAUGCACUGACCCCCUAGAAUGUGAUUUUAGUAUCUUUGUUUUCUCUGUGUGGGGUUUGGGUUUUUAGUCUUGGUUUCAGUAGACUUUAAUUUGGACAUGUGGAGGAAUGAACAUCAUUGUUUUGGAGAGAAGUUCCUGAUAGUGUUUCUCCUCCCCACCCCCAAAUUGAUAAAUUGAUUUAGAUAUUAAAAUUUGGUGCUUUUAAAAAAGACUUAAGUGAUUAGCAGUGCUUCAAUUAAAAUUACAAAGAGA